AAAUAGUGCGGAAUUAAAAACUCUUUAAAUAAAAUCCCAUAAGACUCAAAGGUCACUUUUAAAAACAUCAUUCAAAAGUACACAAGCGGAAUACUAAGUCUCUUAGCCAUCUUAGACAUAAACGUGAAAACAUACUAGGGACACGGCCCUUUACAAUCAAAAGAAGUCUAUUAAGUCUAUUACAAGAACCUUAUCAUAAAACUAGAAUAGAAAAGUCUUGUCCUCGACAUAUGAGGACAUACCACAAGAUCUUGGAAGAA
rnacentral:lncRNA from 1 species